CAGCUCUGUAGAAAUGACUGUGAAAGCUAUGUCAGUAGGUCAGUCUUAUGGUUUCCCAGUGACAAGACACGUAAUUGUGCCUGGGUGAAAUGACACGUGGUCAGCACCAUUUGAAGAGCUACCCGCCCUGAUUUCAAAAGGUUUCUGACACUGGACAUCAACUAGGAUUAAUACAAAACCUGAACCUCAGCAGCACAAGGGUAUCGUAUCCCAGCCUAUGCUGAGCCUAUGGUACCAGUAAAGAGCCUUUUCCCCUCACUCUGCUUCACGGCAACCAAAUUCUGUCUUUAAAAUAAUUCUGCAAAGAGAUUACCUCUUUCAUCAGUCUGGCGUGCUUACAGGCUGCAGAAGACAACAACACUCAGUGCCAGAAAAAACACACCUCUUUAUUUCACAGAAGGAAAUUAGAAGCAUAGACGUGAGAGGACAUUCCAAGGAACAAGGAUCUGCCCACCUGUAUUCACCAUUUCCAAGCAAUGGGAAAGCCCCCCAGUAGAGGGGAAAGCCACCUGCAGGACAUCCAGACCCUGCAUGGGGCCAUCAGUUGGGCUUCUUAUUCAAGUGCCUUUACCCGCAGGAAUAAAGGUACAACCAGGAAGAGGAUGAAAUCCUGGUAUUUCUGGGGUCCAUUAUUUUAUUCACAGAUGACGGCAAGCAGCCCAGUAAUUUUGUGACUACCUCAGCAGUAAACUUGAAGCAGAUCAAAUCACAGACUAGGCACAAUCUGAGAAUGGACAGGGAUCACUAGACACAGAGGUUUUACCUGCCUGCCUUUAGUAUGGCCCACAGCUCUUACCAAUGCCAUUUACAUACCAUCACAAAAACUCCCACUCGACAGACGCAUCUUAAGGACUCAAAAAAUAGCAAAACCAUUUUCUCCUUCCCCAGGCCCCAAAGCGUGGCACGCAAUUCCAGGUGCUCACCUUAAUCUUCCACCAACUUCAACAGCAACAUUCAAACAGCCCCUGAUCCACGUGAUUUGCCGUGUACGAAAUACAACACAAGCUUAAAUUUCCAGAGUAUUGAUGCCAACUCUAUACACGCUGGCAGAAGUUUCUAUCACACAACUGGCUUAAAAGGAGAAUUUGUCCCCACAGCUGUAGAUCCAAAUAACUGUCAAACAGAUGAUGCUGCACAGAUUUUUGCCACCUUUCAGCAACAUAGCAAAUGCCUUUUACCUUGUCAUGACAGCUAAGAAGAGGUGCAAGGGCUCUUGGAAGCCACGUUCAUAAUUUUAGUUAUCUGACCACAGGCGCCAAUGCUGACAGCACUCCUAUGCAAAGGGCACACUGCUCUUGCCACACUCGCCCCUGGCACCCUCUCUGCAUGAAAUUUAACACACAGAACAAGAGACUGAUGAUCACGUUCAUUCAGCUGGACCUGCAGACCUUGUCAAGCAGACUGCUUAGCCCAAGGAGGGCAAAUAAAUGUGAGUAUUGAAAGGACGGCAGUCUGAAUCAGAAGCACGACACGUAGGCUCAGUCCAAAGUUACAGGUGCUCUUUACAAGCGCUUUAGUUAGUUAUCGGUUUGGCUCCAGACUUUGUCCAGCACAUCUCCUGAAAAGCAACACGAGCACCACCUUGCAGCAAGUGGAGGCACUGGCAGUUAU